UACGGGGGGGGCAAGCGUUGUUCGGAAUUACUGGGCGUAAAGGGCUCGUAGGCGGCCAACUAAGUCGGAUGUGAAAUCCCCAGGCUCAACUUGGGAACUGCAUCCGAUACUGGAUGGCUUGAAUUCGGGAGAGGGAUGCAGAAUUCCAGGUGUAGCGGUGAAAUGCGUAGAUAUCUGGAGGAAUACCGGUGGCGAAGGCGGCAUCCUGGACCGACAUUGACGCUGAGACGCGAAAGCGUGGGGAGCAAACAGG
rnacentral:rRNA from 1 species